GGGAGGCGUAGCGAAAGCGAGUCCGAAUAGGGCGUAUAGUUGCUGGGUGUAGACCCGAAACCAAGUGAUCUAUCCAUGGCCAGGUUGAAGAUGCCGUAACAGGCAUUGGAGGACCGAACCCACAAAUGUUGAAAAAUUUGGGGAUGAGCUGUGGAUCGGAGUGAAAGGCUAAUCAAGCCUGGAGAUAGCUGGUUCUCCGCGAAAUCUAUUUAGGUAGAGCGUCAUGUCUCACUCCAGGGGGUAGAGCACUGUUAUGGCUAGGGGGUCAUCCCGACUUACCAAACCAUUGCAAACUCCGAAUACCUGGAAGUGCAAUCAUGGCAGACACACUGCGGGUGAUAAGGUCCGUAGUGGAAAGGGAAACAGCCCAGACCGCCAGCUAAGGUCCCUAAAUCACGUGCUAAGUGGGAAAGGAUGUGGGACGGCCAUGACAACCAGGAGGUUGGCUUAGAAGCAGCCACCCUUUAAAGAGUGCGUAAUAGCUCACUGGUCAAGUGAUUCCGCGCCGACAAUGUAGCGGGGCUCAAGUCAUCCGCCGAAGCUAUGGCAUUCAGC
rnacentral:rRNA from 1 species